GCGGUUUUAGCUCAGUUGGGAGAGCGUCAGACCGAAGUUUCAACUUUAGUCUCAGUAAAUCUGAAGAUCCUGUGUUCGAUACACACAAAUCGCA